GGAUUGCUCAGUGUAAGAGCCUCUGCUUUGUAUUCAGAAGGUCCCAGGUUCAAUCCCUGGCAUCUCCA
rnacentral:tRNA from 1 species